rnacentral:rRNA from 1 species
UGGGGAAUAUUGCACAAUGGGCGCAAGCCUGAUGCAGCCAUGCCGCGUGUGUGAAGAAGGCCUUCGGGUUGUAAAGCACUUUCAGCGGGGAGGAAGGCGGUGAGGUUAAUAACCUCAUCGAUUGACGUUACCCGCAGAAGAAGCACCGGCUAACUCCGUGCCAGCAGCCGCGGUAAUACGGAGGGUGCAAGCGUUAAUCGGAAUUACUGGGCGUAAAGCGCACGCAGGCGGUCUGUCAAGUCGGAUGUGAAAUCCCCGGGCUCAACCUGGGAACUGCAUUCGAAACUGGCAGGCUAGAGUCUUGUAGAGGGGGGUAGAAUUCCAUGUGUAGCGAUGAAAUGCGUAGAGAUGUGGAGGAAUACCGGUGGCGAAGGCGGCCCCCUGGACAAAGACUGACGCUCAGGUGCGAAAGCGUGGGGAGCAAACAGG